rnacentral:lncRNA from 1 species
UUGUGCGGAUCGUGGGCUGCUGGCACACGGGUCAUGUGCUGGUGGCGCGCGAUAUCUCUUCUCGAGCGUGUAGUAUCUCCGCAACAUCUCCCAUCGCGUGCGCGACUUCAUCCUCAACGUGCGCCAGGGCGUCUCCUUAGAUACACACAGCCUACGCAGGUUUGCGGUGCACGCACUUAUCCAAGGGCAAGAUGGCUGGGUUGUGGUUGCUCACCCAGUGCAUGUGUGUGACAUCCGAAAUAUAUAUGGGUAAAAGAAGCCAACUACUUAUGUAGUUACAAGUGCUAAAACAAAAAUUUGACAUUGAAGGAGAAUAGAAAAUCCGUUAUAAGGAAAAACUUAGAUUUGAAACUUAUAUUAAAGUUAUAGGUUGGAAAUCUUGAGUAUAAGAUACAAAGUAGAGUCCUUAUAAGAUUUUUACAUCAGAGUACAGAAUAACUAGUGCACUUAAAUUAUGUCAUAGAAAAUUUCUAGAUAAUCUGUGAAUGGAUCUAGCCAAACUCUAAGGGAUAACUCAGAGAGUAAACCCUCAACUUUCUCAAUACUUGGGGGAGACACAAUUAAAGGUGAGUUCCACGUAAACUCAGUAAGGAAAGCAAUAUUUAAAUUCCAUGACUAAGGUUU